rnacentral:rRNA from 1 species
GUGAGGAAUAUUGCGCAAUGGAGGCAACUCUGACGCAGCCAUGCCGCGUGCAGGAAGAAGGCGCUACGCGUUGUAAACUGCUUUUAACCGGGAAGAAACCCCAGGACGUGUCCUGGGUUGACGGUACCGGAGGAAUAAGCACCGGCUAACUUCGUGCCAGCAGCCGCGGUAAUACGAAGGGUGCAAGCGUUAUCCGGAUUCAUUGGGUUUAAAGGGUGCGUAGGCGGAGCGUUAAGUCAGUGGUGAAAUCCUGCAGCUUAACUGUAGACUUGCCAUUGAGACUGGCGCUCUUGAGUGCGCUUGAAGUGGGCGGAAUGUGCCGUGUAGCGGUGAAAUGCUUAGAUAUGGCACAGAACACCAAUUGCGAAGGCAGCUCACUAAGGCGAUACUGACGCUGAGGCACGAAAGCGUGGGGAUCGAACAGGAUUAGAUACCCCGGUAGUCC